GAAGUACUCCCUCCGUUCGGAAAUACUUGUCAUCAAAAUGAAUAAAAGAGGAUGUAUCUAAAUGUAUUUUAGUUCUAGAUAUAUCCUUUUUGUCCAUGUUGAUGACGAGUAUUUUCGGACGGAGGUAUCGUAACUC
rfam:Triticum aestivum genome assembly, contig: Triticum_aestivum_CS42_TGACv1_scaffold_472270_6AL